GACCGGACGACGUGGCGCAGUGGUUAGCGCAUCGGACUCGCAUUCCGAAGGACGACGGUUCAACCCCGCGUCCGGUCA